GAUGAAAUUAUUGUCGAGAUGGUCUCCCAAAGCAUUACGGAUGUGCUGAGAGAAAUGAAGGACAGAUUUACCUCUAGUUUGGAAAUUGUUGCCCUGUCAGAGAAGGCACUCUCAAAACUACAGAAAAAAGGGCUUCUCAUAAAGGACGAUCCCUGAUAGAAGAUAACUUUUCUUUGAUUUUUUUUCUCUUUCUCUCGCCCUGUUGAUUAUUUCCAAGAUGAACAGGAGGGAAAAGUUUUGCUUUGACGGAACUUCAGUAUUUAUUUAUUUGCAAAAUGCAAACAAUAUUACAUUUUGCUGAAAAUAUUAAAAGGCUGUGCAAUAAAUAGGAAAAACGAGUUGCAA